UCUUACAGUUCUGAAGGCUGGGAAGUCCAAGAGCAUCUGGCAAGGGCCUUCAUGCUGCAUCAUCCCGUAGCAGAAGUGUUGCUGGGACUGAUGAGAUCAAGACAGGAUGAGAACAUGUCAACAGUAUUAAAUUCAUGUUGUCUGGCACUGCUGAGCUUUAGGGCUAUGAUAAUGAGAAGCACUGGAUCCCAAGAUUGAAGCUCACAGGAGAAGUGGAGCCAUGAGAUCGGGACCCAACAAAGAGACCCCAGAAUUGCAGAGCUACUGGCAUGCAAUGCCAGCCUGGGAGAGCUGAAGCAUGGCCUCAGAACAGGAAAGCCAUAGAAGUGGAGCUACCUAAGGACUUGGGGACCCAACCCCCAGACCAGCAUGCAGAGGAUAUUGAACAUGGAGUCCAGGUACAUGAUUUGCCAGCUUUGAGAUCUGAUGCCUGCCCUACUGGUUUUUGGACUUGUUUGGGACCUGUUACUCCUUUCUUUUGGCUCAUUUUUUCCUUUUGAGCAAGAAUAUGUACCCUAUCCUACCAUUGUAUUUGGCAGUAGGUAACUUGUUUUGAUUUCACAGAUGGGACCUUGAGACUUUGAACUUUUGAGUUAAAACAAGUUAAGACUUUGGGGAGUUAAAACGUUAAGACAUUUCAAAAUACAUUUGAAAUGAAUGUAUUUGUAUGUGAAAAGGACAUGAGUUUUGGGGGGCCAGGGACAGAAUGCUUUGGAUUGAAUGUCCCCCCAAAACCUAUUCCCCACUGUAACUGUUAAGAGUGAGAAAUCCUAUUAUGGUAGUUGAAAGGUGGGGCCUUGAAGAGGUGAUUGGAUUGUGAGGACCGUACACUCAUGAAUAGAUUGAUCCAUUCUUGGAAUAAUGAGAGCAGUUCUGGUGGCUUUAAAAGGAGAGUGGGAGCUGGCCAGUUAGCACAGUAGGUUAGAGCACAGUGUUGUAACACCAAGGUCAAGGAUUCGGAUCCUCUUUACUGGCCAGCCACCACAAAAAAAAUAAAAUAAAAUAAAAUAAUAAAAUCACAAAAAAAAAGGAUAGUAAAUGAGGAAGUUAGUCUCUCUGCUCCACCAUUCUGCCAUUUAAGACCCCCAUGUCACUGUCACCACUAACAAGGCCUUCACCAGAUGUGUUCCCUGAACUUUGGACUUCCCUGCCUCUGAAACU